GGUUCCGAGGGGCGCUGCGACCUUGCAUCAGGCGAGGCCAGGCUUGGAACGCUGGGGUGUAUCUGUAGCAACGGCGCUCAUUCAUU
rnacentral:ncRNA from 1 species